AACGAACGCUGGCGGCAUGCCUAACACAUGCCAGUCGAACGAGACCUUCGGGUCUAGUGGCGCACGGGUGCGUAACGCGUGGGAACCUGCCCUUAGGUUCGGAAUCACUCCCCGAAAGGGGUGCUAAUACCGGUUAAUGUCUUCGGACCAAAGAUUUAUCGCCUUUGGAUGGGCCCGCGUUGGAUUAGCUAGUUGGUAGGGUAAAAGCCUACCAAGGCGACGAUCCAUAGCUGGUCUGAGAGGAUGAUCAGCCACACUGGGGCUGAGACACGGCCCAGACUCCUACGGGAGGCAGCAGUGGGGAAUAUUGGACAAUGGGCGAAAGCCUGAUCCAGCAAUGCCGCGUGAGUGAUGAAGGCCUUAGGGUUGUAAAGCUCUUUUACCCGGGAUGAUAAUGACAGUACCGGGAGAAUAAGCACCGGCUAACUCCGUG
rnacentral:rRNA from 1 species